CCAUAUAAGUGUGGUCACUAAUCACAAUCCGAAGAUAACAUUUAUUCUCAUUUUCAAUAUAAUCUAUUAAAAAUCAUAUGGUAAAAUCUUAACUCUUUAACUAGCAGAAUUCAGGAUACAAUGAGUAAGCAUGGGAUAAGAUACAAGCAAAGAAGUAACCCACCUGAGUUAGCUUCCACUCCUUUAUACUCUCGACAUCAAAAGAAUUAUGUGUAUGGACAUAUUUUGAGUCUUAAUUUAAAAUUUUGAACCAAACCAAUAUCGAGGAAACAUAUAUGAAAUAUGGAUACUUGAUAAGAAUUUGGGACAGAGAUGCAAGGAACUCUUAAAAACUCAAGGCUUGAGCUACGAUUCAGCCUAGUUAAAGGUUAUAAAAUUUAGGGUCCUGCUAACAAGUGUUGUCGGGGUUAGGGGCUUGGGGAACUUGUUAAGGAAGAAACCAAAAGUAGUAGGUUUACGUUGGAAUCAACAAUUUUUAAGCUUUUAAAAAGUUCAAUUCACCACGUUUUACCAUUUCUCAAUACAAUAUUUCUAUUUUUGUUCUCUUAAACAAUGCUCUAAAGGCACUCUUUAGCAUUUCCCUAAAAUUUAAUGUUAUUUUACAUAAACAUAAAUUGUUUGUAAAUUUGAUAUAUCUCAUUAAAUUGUAACUAUAUCAGCAGAAGCCAAUCAAUAUUUAUAAAAAUAUUUCUGUAAUCACAGCAAAAAGGCAUAGACACAUCUUUCCUAAUCCCUUUCAAUAUAUAUUCUUUCCCCCACACACAUCAUGCAAGAAUUGCAAAUUUCCCCUCUCCAACCAAUGUUAUAAUCAGAUAAGGCAUCGCUAGUCCUAUUUAAGAGAAGCCUUUGCUCUAUUCAGUUGUCUAUUAUCUAAUACUAAUUGUACAUAUUCAUCUAUCACAUUUCGAUCAUCUAAAAUAACACAGCUUCUUAGUUUAUGACGAGGCAACUCCGCCAAUUCAAAAAAUACAGAGGUUGGAUUAGACACAUCUUUCCUAAUCCCUUUCAAUAUAUAUUCUUUCCCCCACACACAUCAUGCAAGAAUUGCAAAUUUCCCCUCUCCAACCAAUGUUAUAAUCAGAUAAGGCAUUGCUAGUCCUAUUUAAGAGAAGCCUUUGCUCUAUUCAGUUGUCUAUUAUCUAAUACUAAUUGUACAUAUUCAUCUAUCACAUUUCGAUCAUCUAAAAUAACACAGCUUCUUAGUUUAUGACGAGGCAACUCCGCCAAUUCAAAAAAUACAGAGGUUGGAUUCAAAAAACCAACAAUAUCAUCAACUGGGUCAACACUAACAUGCGGCAACCGUCACCUUUUCUAGACAAAAUACAGAGGUCGGAUUAAACAGAAUCUCUGCCCUUUUUGGAUCUAUUUUGUUUCUGUUCAAAUAAUGAAUCAAAGAGUGUGUAGUAAUGAACUUCAACCCUUCUCACAACACCAUGAAGAAAAAGGUUGAACAAGUAGCUAUUUUUUUAGGUAGAGAAAGACUGUACAAGGAGCACUAAGGUAACUAGAUUAUGAUGUAUCCCAACUGUAUUCGAGUAGUGUUUAAAAUGUGGCGGUCAAUAAUUCCUCGAAAAGAAUAUUGGAGCAUACUCCCUUCCCUAUAAGUAUUGUACACGUACCAGUAUCGGAUGCGGCAACAAAACCCACUUAUACUCAAAUUUGGAGUACCUGGGUUCAUAGGUAACAUGCAAGACUACCGUAAAAAGAAUCCUUAAUUUCAAGAAAUACAACAUAACUGAACAUGGGAACUGACCAAACAAUGAUAUUACUUAAUAUCCCGAAGGGUAAACAUCCAAAUUAAUUUCAGCAAGCACCUUUCUUCGAAUUCCGAAAGUCUCAUGUUAAUUCAGAAAUCCUCAAAUGCUGGUGAUAUUAGUCGUUAAGAAGGACUAACAUGACUGAUAUUUGAGGUUCCAAGGGACUAGUGUGAUUUUCACAUUCUCUAAGACUAAUGACUCCAACUAAAUUUCUGGGACACAAAUUGAGGGAGUAUGUGUCAAUAUUCAUAAAAUUUUGCUAUAGGAACAUGCACUUGAAAUUAAAUUCUAUUAAAAUAACAAUUACCUCUAGCAUUAAGAAAUAAUAAUAGAAAAUGAUGCAGUAAUGCAGUAUACAU
rnacentral:lncRNA from 1 species